ACGCUGGCGGCAUGCCUAACACAUGCAAGUCGAACGGGGUACUUCGGUACUUAGUGGCGGACGGGUGAGUAAGGCGUAGGAAUCUGCCCACGAGAGGGGGACAACCUGGGGAAACUCAGGCUAAUACCGCAUACGCUCGCGAGAGGAAAGCGGGGGACCUUCGGACCUCGCGCUGGUGGAAGAGCCUACGUCCGAUUAGCUAGUUGGUAGGGUAAAAGCCUACCAAGGCGACGAUCGGUAGCUGGUCUGAGAGGAUGAUCAGCCACACUGGGACUGAGACACGGCCCAGACUCCUACGGGAGGCAGCAGUGGGGAAUAUUGGACAAUGGGCGCAAGCCUGAUCCAGCAAUGCCGCGUGGGUGAAGACGGCCUGCGGGUUGUAAAGCCCUUUAAGUGGGGAGGAACGG
rnacentral:rRNA from 1 species